GAGUAGUUGUAUAUUUGUAGUGUAGUGUGAAAUGUCUUAAUGUAAUUGUAAUAUUGAUAGAAAUGGCAAUUUAUGGUACUUAAUACACAAAUCCCUGUCAGUGCCAUGUGAUGUUCUAUGCCAGUAUAUUUACCAACUCUAAUACCUUUAUGCCUCAAAAAUGUAAUUAAGUAGAACAUGUGUAUUUCGUACAAACAUAACCCAACUUUUGGGCAAGUGACGUCAGUGUUUCAACUCAACUAGAUGUUAAGGUUGUAAAUAUGGACACUGUGAAAUGGGGAUCUGGUGGUGUUGUCAGAAAUUGUGGAUAAAGUGUUGUUCGCAAAUUUCAGAAACAUGACAUCUCCAUUAUCAAGAUUGAAGAAUAAGCCAAGCAAGAUACCAGCAUAAAAGCAGGUGGCUGACUUUCAUUGGAUUACACAGCGUUAUACCCCGGAAGAUAGUAGUCUUCACAACCACUGCUGUGAAAACCUCAAAUGAUAACUUAAAAUUCUGUUUUGAAGAACUGAAUGCAGUCAGUGGUGGACAACUACAAAUGGGACUAUGGUUGAUAACUUGGCAACGUGCUCCAUAGCCACACACUCCUGGACA